CAGCACCUCAAGUGGUCAGGAUGAUUAUUGGGCCUAAAGCAUCCGUAGCCUGCUUUGUCAGUUUUCGGUUAAAUCCAUACGCUCAACGUAUGGGCUGCCGGGAAUACUGCAAAGCUAGGGAGUGGGAGAGGUAGACGGUACUCGGUAGGAAGGGGUAAAAUCCUUUGAUCUAUUGAUGACCACCUGUGGCGAAGGCGGUCUACUAGAACACGUCCGACGGUGAGGGAUGAAAGCUGGGGGAGCAAACCGGAUUAGAUACCCGAGUAGUCC
rnacentral:rRNA from 1 species